GCCGACGUAGCUCAGCGGUAGAGCAACGGUUUCGUAAACCGUAGGCCGUGGGUUCAAAUCCCACCGUCGGCU
rnacentral:tRNA from 1 species